CAAAUUAGCGGACUUAAGCGGCACUUUAUUUUCCAUCGUUGUCUUUCCAGCAGCGCGUAUUGUUCCGGUGAAAAUUGAGUUGAAUGAAUCGUCAUAGUCCCAACGUAUAUCGUGCUGUGUUGACCAAGACCGACGACAAAGGAUCCUGUCAUGUUUUGUGGGUACGCGAAGGAUUCCGAAACAAACAACAACAUGGCUAACAGGAUGUUGCUGCCCAGGGUGUCUUGGCUGAAGAGGUCUACUCAUUCCAGAAGCAAGAAUUGUACCAUUGUAAAGCGAAUGGAAAUAAACUGACGUCGACUGAGAUAGG